CCCGGACUUCUGUCCCUUUGUAUCACUUGGUGGUGGUGGGGGGGUGGCAUGGCGCUGAGAAACUGCCAAAUUGACUUCUGGGGGAUUCGAAACUUCCUCCCGCCUCCAGCCUCUGACCCUCAGUGGUCACCUUCCUCGUCUCCCCACCGCCACACAGGCUGGGCACCCCUAAACGGAAACCCUGAAGCCCAAAACACUCCUAACUCUUCACUAGCGAUUCUGCUCCAAGUGAGACGUUCAUGGUGGGUGACACCUGGAAGCAGGCACCCGGGAAAUGCCACACCCAGUUACCCGCUGCUGCAUAGAGGGGCCCUGAGUCCCGUUCCUGGGGCACCUUGCUCCGAAGUCUGAAAAAUCCACCGUGCAAAACACUUCUGGCCCGGCGUGGGUUAGGGACCCUCGGCCUGCAGUGUUGCUGAAGCUCUAGCAGGCAGCGUCUGGGGAACUGCCUCGGUGGUACUGGGUGACACAGUCAGGCGCUCCAGGGGCUCGGGCCCCUGAGAUCUGUGCAGUCUCGGGUCGUGGCUGUGGGACCCGGCUGGAAGAGCCCGCUGGGCCAUGCUGUGACCCCAAGGCUCCUGCGUGGGUACCUGUGGCACCCGGCUCACAUCUGGAACAAUCCCAGCCCGCCAGUGCCCUGCAAGCUGCACUGUGUGCCACUGUGUGUGUGUGUGGGGGUGGACUCACAGCCCAGUGAUGGUCGCGGUCACUUCAGGGAGUGAGGUGCUGCUGGCACAGAGGAAAAUCUCCCAGGAAGGAGCACGGUAGGAGGCCUGGUUGGCGUGGCAACCACGUGUGGCUUGCAUGCUGUGUGUGGAGCUUGCUGGAGGUGUUAAUUAGUAUUUGUAGGGAGCCAUUAGCAGCAGCCCCUCCCACACUGGACAGCUGCGGUGGGGAGGGGUGUGGCCUUGUAGACCAAGCCUACCUGGGUGUGGGGUUCUUGGUUUCCUUACUGGGGACCUGGAGCUCAGUGCCGGGCCCCAGAGUGCUGAGCUCUUAAAGCCAUGUGGAGGCUUCUGCUCACUUGUCGCUUGGGUUCUCCGCUGCCUACUAUGGGCCCGGUGCUCCUGGCAGAGCUCUAGGAGCAGCCAGAGGCACCUGGGGACUUGCGGCUUGGUGUUGCCCGAGGCUGUGACUCUGCAGGGAAUCCGAGCUCAGGGUCGCCUUCGGUGCCUGCAUGCUCUGGCCGCUCAGGCAAGUCUCCCGCCUGUUAUACUGCAUCUUUGCCGCCGCACAUGCCCGCUCUGUGGGCGCUGACCAUCUAAGGAACUUCCACGGGCCACGUGAGACCACUGGGCUGCUCCCUGACAACCUGCCGACGUCCUGCGUUUAGGGACCAUGCUGGGUGUCCGGGCAGAGCUGUGUCUGCCGUGACCCCUGGUCUGGCUGGGAGGUGCUGCUCCGUGCCAUCUUCCCAGCACUGUGCGGGGCCGUGCCCUUGGCACCCCAGGCCCUGAUCCGAAGAGCGGAGUCCUGCUCUCCUGUAACUACUUGUGCGACCUGGAAUAUCGGUACCUCCUGCUCGGGUGUCAGUUCCCCAGCCAGGACCUCGCUGGAAUGUUGGGAGGAUCCAGUCAGGGUGCCAAGUCAGGGGUUCUGCAAGAGGUCGCUGAUAGAGUCACAAAGGUGACCUCCACGUCGGAAGCCUGGACUGCGGAGUCAGACCUGGCAUCCCUGUUCCUGCUGUGUGACUGGGGCUGGUUCCGUGCCCCCUCUGGCUCCCUGGAUAUGACGGGCCUUGUGCAGCCCUGUGCUUCCUGGUUUAUCCCGUCACCCCUCUGCCCCCCACAGCGCGGUGCAGGCCCCCAGUGCGGAGGGAACUGAGGUCCCCCGUCCUCGCCAGUUCCUCCCGGUCCUCAGCCUGGUGUCUGCCGAGGUCGGCCCCAGCUGCUGUCCCUGUGAGCAGCCAGGAGAGUGGCCAUCUGGGCACAGUGUCUGGGUGAGGGGCUCCUGUGGUGCCGGGGUUGCUGAGGAGGGUGUAGGUGGGCGUAGCCACUGUCACCGGGCACAGUUCCAGCCCCUCCCGCUGCCAGCCGGGGAACACCCUGGGGAGGACCACCUGCUUCCUCGGGGCGUGGCCUGGAGGGUUUCCUCAGGCAGCUUCCUUGACAAGCUGCAGUCCCUGGCAAGAUCCCCACGUGGCCUUCUCUGCAGGAGCUGUGUCAGGGAGCUCAGAGCCAUGUGGCCAGAACCGAGAGGCCCGGAGUGAGUUAGUUUUGCAUCCGUGAGACCCUGGUGGACAUUAAUUGGAUGCCCUGAACUUCCCCAUCGGUCCUCCCCAGUCACUGAGCCCAGGAAUGCCUUGGCAGAGGCAGACGACGGAUGCUCCAAGCCUACUGGGCGCUGGACAGUCCCAGAAAUGAGGUUCUCCUUCUCUGGGCCUGGCUAUUUGGGUCCGAUAUGGGCCGCAGCUGCCCAGCCCGGUCCGCCUGCCUUUCUUCGGUGCUGGCCCAGCGCCUGCUGUUUGGGAACUUCCGAUGGGCCCUUGGUGGGCACACUGAGCUGCUGUCGCCUCCUCAGGCUGUGCACGGGAAAUUGAAGCCGGUGAUUGUACACAGCGACCCAGGCCUCACUGGGCUGAGGGUCAAGCUGCAAAUCAGGGUCACGUCGGCCGCUGGCGAGGUCCUAUUGCAUGGAUCGCCCCACCCCCUCGAAAACCAAAAGCAAACCUGGAUCUUUCACCAGACCGAGGCUUCAGCCUCCCUUGGGGAGCUUGGUUAUCGUCUAAUUUUAGUGUCCAGAAUCUUAUUUUCGUGUCCUGCAAACCUCUAACCAUUAAAACAACAGUCUAUUAAAAACAAA